CAAUCCCCUUUUAGAGUCCAUAUCGACAAGGGGGUUUACGACCUCGAUGUUGGAUCAGGACAUCCUAAUGGUGCAGCCGCUAUUAAGGGUUCGUUUGUUUAACGAUUAAAGUCCUACG
rnacentral:rRNA from 1 species